CUACAGGGAAAACAACAUUCAUUAAGCAUCUGCUGAAGACAAGCUACCCAGGAGCUCAUGUCGGACCAGAGCCUACUACUGACAAAUUCGUAGUUGUCAUGCUUAUGAGAGUGUAUGGUGCGCUGAUGUGGUCUCGUGGAAAAGUGCUAAAUACUCCUGAGGUUGUGCGUGUGUACAAUGGGCUGUCAAGGAAAUACGAUACAACUUUCUGGCUGGUUUUGCGGUGGGGCUGUAAAAUUUAAUUUGCAACUUGAAGGGUACAAACAAGGGUUAUACUAGCAGUGAACAGCCCAUAUGUGGUUGGGGGCAACCAUUACGGCAUCGUCG